ACAAGUUAUUGAAGCUGGAAAUGGUUCAGCUUCCUUUUUGCCUAUAAGUACUGGGAGAUCUAAUUGUGUAGUGCAUCAUGGAGGCUAGACUGAAAAUAUCACGGACAGCAGUCCAAAUACAAUAUGGCGAUUUGAGCGCCAAAAUGACACUUUAAAUCAAGACCUUGUUACUGGUCUCUGCAAUAGCAGACUGUGCCAGACAAUCACACUGCCAUUCCAACAGAAAAAAACAAUCGCACAUUCUGAUGGUGGAUGCUUCAUUGGGUUGGACAGCUAUCGUGAACAUUAGAUCUGAGGUAUCACCCAGUAAGUAGAAAGCAAGAAAAUAACUGCAAAAGCUAAUCUUGAGGUAUUUCUUGUCCUGAUUUGCAAUGACCACCUGCAAGUGAUUCCGUGACCCAUACAUAGACAAGACCUGAUGAGUCCAGGACCCAUGCCAGUCCACCCAUCCACCAGGGAUGACAUAGACGCACUCAACCUCUGGCAGCAGAUUUUUUCGCCAAGGAUCAGGGAGGACAGCAGGAUGAUGAUGAUGAUGAUGGAUGAGGACCAUCAGGAGCCAUCAUUCUGGCAGACAGACAUCAACAAUGACCUCCGCCCCCCCCCCAGCCAGACAACCCGAGGAAACCAGAUGUAGGAUGUAGUCAGAGAUAUCAUCAGAACCCAGAUGCAAGAUCUCAUGGGAAUGUUCUGCAUGGACCAUGAGUGAAUCCUUCCAAUAUAUUGCAUGUGAAAUCAUUUGUGACAUUCAACCCAAUCAGGGGAGGGCCCUCUUAACUGUAAGCAUUGUCAAUGUCUUCCACUCAUGUCAUGCUGCCACCAUGUUGUAUUCCUACUUCAUUAUCUUUGCAGUUAUAUGCACAUUUUUGUGCACAUAUCCAAUACCAUGGUCAUGUUUGUAAUACAUGUCUUGUGAUGCACACUUCACAAUUCAGAUGUUAUGGGGCUAUAUCAUUUAGCUGCAUUGUGACA